GUGCCGUUGGUCUUUUGAUCGACGGUUUUUAGGAAGUCUAAGAAGCUUCCAGAAUAAGGGCUGGGCAAGACUGGUGCCAGCCGCCGCGGUAACACCAGCAGCCCAAGUGGUGGCCACGAUUAUUGGGCCUAAAGCGCUCGUAGCCGGAUCAAUAAGUCCCUUGUGAAAUCGGGCCGCCCAACGGUUCGGCGUGCAAGGGAUACUGUUGGUCUUGAGGCCGGGAGAGGUCGGAGGUACUCCUGGGGUAGCGGUGAAAUGCUCUAAUCCUAGGGGGACCACCAGUGGCGAAGGCGUCCGACCAGAACGGACCUGACGGUGAGGGGCGAAGGCUAGGGGAGCGAACGGGAUUAGAUACCCCGGUAGUCCUAGCUGUAAAGCAUGCGGGCCAGGUGUCUAGCGCUCCUUGAGGGCGCUAUGUGCCGGAGGGAAGCCGUUAAGCCCGCCGCCUGGGAAGUACGGUCGCAAGGCUGAAACUUAAAGGAAUUGGC
rnacentral:rRNA from 1 species